rnacentral:rRNA from 1 species
AUUGAACGCUGGCGGCAGGCCUAACACAUGCAAGUCGAACGAGUGGCGGACGGGUGAGUAAUGUCUGGGAAACUGCCCGAUGGAGGGGGAUAACUACUGGAAACGGUAGCUAAUACCGCAUACCAUCGGAUGUGCCCAGAUGGGAUUAGCUAGUAGGUGGGGUAAUGGCGCACCAAGGCGACGAUACCUAGCUGGUUUGAGCGGAUGACCGGCCACACGGGGACCGAGACACGGUCCAGACUCCUACGGGAGGCAGCAGUGGGGAAUUUUGCACAAUGGGCGAAAGCCUGAUGCAGCCAUGCCGCGUGGAUGAAGAAGGCCUUCGGGUUGUAAAGUACUUUCAGCGGGGAGGCGUUACUCGCAGAAGAAGCACCGGCUAACUCCGUGCCAGCAGCCGCGGUAAUUC